rnacentral:rRNA from 1 species
GACGAACGCUGGCGGCGUGCUUAACACAUGCAAGUCGAACGGAAAGGCCCUGCUUUUGUGGGCUGCUCGAGUGGCGAACGGGUGAGUAACACGUGAGUAACCUGCCCUUGACUUUGGGAUAACUUCAGGAAACUGGGGCUAAUACCGGAUAGGAGCUCCUGCUGCAUGGUGGGGGUUGGAAAGUUUCGGCGGUUGGGGAUGGACUCGCGGCUUAUCAGCUUGUUGGUGGGGUAGUGGCUUACCAAGGCUUUGACGGGUAGCCGGCCUGAGAGGGGGACCGGCCACAAGGGGACUGAGAUACGGACCAGACCCGUACGGGAGGCAGCAGUGGGGAAUAUUACACAAUGGGCGGAAGCCUGAUGCAGCAACGCAGCGUGCGGGAUGACGGCCUGCGGGUUGUAAACCGCUUUCGCCUGUGACGAAGCGUGAGUGACGGUAAUGGGUAAAGAAGCACCGGCUAACUACGUG